rnacentral:rRNA from 1 species
UACGUAGGGGGCAAGCGUUGUCCGGAUUUAUUGGGCGUAAAGAGCGUGUAGGCGGCUAGAUAGGUCCGUUGUGAAAACUCGAGGCUCAACCUCGAGACGCCGAUGGAAACCAUCUGGCUAGAGUCCGGAAGAGGAGAGUGGAAUUCCUGGUGUAGCGGUGGAAUGCGCAGAUAUCAGGAGGAACACCGGUGGCGAAGGCGGUUCUCUGGGCAUUACCUGACGCUGAGGAGCGAAAGUGUGGGGAGCGAACAGG